AGUGAACGCUGGCGGUAGGCCUAACACAUGCAAGUCGAACGGCAGCACAGUAAGAGCUUGCUCUUACGGGUGGCGAGUGGCGGACGGGUGAGGAAUACAUCGGAAUCUACUUUUUCGUGGGGGAUAACGUAGGGAAACUUACGCUAAUACCGCAUACGACCUACGGAUGAAAGCAGGGGAUCUUCGGGCCUUGCGCGAUUGAAUGAGCCGAUGUCGGAUUAGCUAGUUGGCGGGGUAAAGGCCCACCAAGGCGACGAUCCGUAGCUGGUCUGAGAGGAUGAUCAGCCACACUGGAACUGAGACACGGUCCAGACUCCUACGGGAGGCAGCAGUGGGGAAUAUUGGACAAUGGGCGCAAGCCUGAUCCAGCCAUACCGCGUGGGUGAAGAAGGCCUUCGGGUUGUAAAGCCCUUUUGUUGGGAAAGAAAAGCAGCAGGUUAAUACCCCGCUGUUCUGACGGUACCCAAAGAAUAAGCACCGGCUAACUUCGUG
rnacentral:rRNA from 1 species